GGGAGGCUGCUACCCCUUCUCUGUGAGCCACAGCUGCCUUGGUGGCACCAUGUGGAGGCUGGGCUGGAACUCUGGCUGGCCGGCCACCUUACUGACUAGGUAAGUAAGCAUGAGCCUGCUAGAUUCGCUGUCACAUGCAGACUUAAGCUGGGGGCUGGGGACACAGGCACUGACCCCGCAGACCCAGCGACCCCAUCCUCUUCUCCUCCUGCAGGCAGAAGGACCUCUGUUGGGGCGUCAGAGGCAGGGGGAUGCCCCCGUUGUUGUACGUGGUGCAGUAACAGAUCACUUCUUCAAAGGCCCCCUUCAUGAAGUAAAUGUCUUCCUGCUCCUUGGAAUAGAAAAAAGGAAGACAAUCUGUUGUUACUGGAUGCUCUCGGCGGCGCAGACUCACCUGCACAACGAUGUUGGGGUCAGGGUUACCCACAGGAACGGUCUUCAUUCCUAGUCAGGUGACACUGAUGCUGCGGGUCCAGGGCUUUCCCUUUGAGAGCUGCUGUUCCAGAUGAAUUCUCCGCAGAGGACCCGAGAGAGAUCAGGGUCUUUGGGAUGUAGUCAAGUCAAG